GGAUUAGAUACCCUGGUAGUCCACGCUGUAAACGAUGUCGACUUGGAGGUUGUGCCCUUGAGGUGUGGCUUCCGGAGCUAACGCGUUAAGUCGACCGCCUGGGGAGUACGGCCGCAAGGUUAAAACUCAAAUGAAUUGACGGGGGCCCGCACAAGCGGUGGAGCAUGUGGUUUAAUUCGAUGCAACGCGAAGAACCUUACCUGGUCUUGACAUCCACGGAAGUUUUCAGAGAUGAGAAUGUGCCUUCGGGAACCGUGAGACAGGUGCUGCAUGGCUGUCGUCAGCUCGUGUUGUGAAAUGUUGGGUUAAGUCCCGCAACGAGCGCAACCCUUAUCCUUUGUUGCCAGCGGUCCGGCCGGGAACUCAAAGGAGACUGCCAGUGAUAAACUGGAGGAAGGUGGGGAUGACGUCAAGUCAUCAUGGCCCUUACGACCAGGGCUACACACGUGCUACAAUGGCGCAUACAAAGAGAAGCGACCUCGCGAGAGCAAGCGGACCUCAUAAAGUGCGUCGUAGUCCGGAUUGGAGUCUGCAACUCGACUCCAUGAAGUCGGAAUCGCUAGUAAUCGUGGAUCAGAAUGCCACGGUGAAUACGUUCCCGGGCCUUGUACACACCGCCCGUCACACCAUGGGAGUGGGUUGCAAAAGAAGUAGGUAGCUUAACCUUCGGGAGGGCGCUUACCACUUUGUGAUUCAUGACUGGGGUGAAGUCGUAACAAGGUAACCGUAGGGGAACCUGCGGUUGGAUCACCUCCUUA
rnacentral:rRNA from 1 species